rnacentral:lncRNA from 1 species
GAAGAAUGACCCCCUUCUCUCGCUCACUCCCUCUCCCUCCUCCCUCUCGCUCUCAGACUAUUUCAGACUCUCUGUCAGACUUGGGCUCACAUCGGACGGAGGGAUGGAAAGCCUCCAGCGUCUCUCCUCCAUCACAGACACCGACCUUUCUCUCCGCGCGUCCGCGACCAGAGCAUUCGCCACCACCGCAGCGACAGGAGAGACACCGCGUCACAGCUAAUCCGUCCGCACCGCAUCAUCUCCCUCCAGCGCAGCGCUAGUUACGCUGCAGAAACUGGAUUAUCAGAGGGAUUUUGGGACGGAUAGACUCUUCACUGGACCUCUAAAUUAACCCCCUCUUCGCCGACAGCACGUACAGUCUCCACUCCGCGCUUGUCUUUUUUCUGCACCGCGUCGGUGAUUCGCCCUCACAAGGGGAGAAACUCAGCAGUUGUUGCAGCUUUUUAUUUGCAUGUCGACGUGCAUCCCACCACCAUGCGGAGGUUACUGCAUUCCUGGAGUUGCUGCUGGUGGAUUUGCUGGGUGCUGGUGCAAGCCUCCGCGUUCCCCCGGGCCGACUUUCAUCCAGCUCUGACAGGAAGCCAAGCUGAGUCCAGAGCCACUAUCCCGGGCCUUUACGGAGCAGCGGUCGACGGGUCGAGACAGCGGAGAGCAGCGGAGAACUACUGGGCCUAUUCAGAACAGCUCGCAGGAGCUUCCAGGAUCCAUCACAUCUUGUGGCUCCCGAGGAUGCAGGCUUUGCUGCAGGACACAGAGGAGAUCUUUAUUCCUUGUAGCUGUCUAUCUCCUAAACUCCCACAAUCCCCUAAUCAGUAUUAUUGUGUCUAUGAAUAAAGUGAUUGUUGUGAUUCCAAAUAUUCAAACUAAAGAGGUUCUUGAAUAACCGUAGGGUUUGAUAUAAUGAAGAAAGGAACCAGAAUAUGAGCAGUGUUGGUGAGUCCAAUGAGGCUCUCUUCUGCUUUCCUGGAAGCUUUGGUUGUCCUUGAUGGUCGUUGCUGAACUGUAAGAAACAUACGGCAACAUUUAAAAAGGUUGUAGCAUCAGAAAGUGGACGCUUCCUGGCAUCUGGCAUUCAAGUCUGGCAUUAAGGAGGGACCAAACGCUUUCAUGGACAUAAUGAAAGACGACAUAUUCUAAACCAUCUACAGUCUACAGUAGCUCACCAGAGGAACCUCAAAGUCUCCUUAAACCAGGAUGCAUCC